GACUAACGCUGGCGGCGUGCCUAACACAUGCAAGUCGAACGGGGCCCUGGUUCGCCAGGGUCUAGUGGCAGACGGGUGAGUAACACGUAGGUAAUGUACCCUCUUGCUGGGGAUACCCGUCCGAAAGGAUGGUUAAUACCGAAUGAGCCACGACCGGGGCAUCCUGGUGGUGGCAAACUGGCAACGGGCGAGAGGAUCAGCCUGCGGACCAUCAGCUGGUUGGUGGGGUAACGGCCUACCAAGGCGACGACGGUUAGCCGGUUUGAGAGGACGAUCGGCCACACUGGGACUGAAACACGGCCCAGACUCCUACGGGAGGCAGCAGUGAGGAAUAUUGCGCAAUGGGCGAAAGCCUGACGCAGCGACGCCGCGUGAGGGAUGAAGGCCUUCGGGUCGUAAACCUCUGUCAGUGGGGAAGAGAACGGACGGUACCCACUGAGGAAGCAUCGGCUUACUACGUGC
rnacentral:rRNA from 1 species